UGAUCCAGACUUUGCUUCUGGCUCAGGAUGAACGCUGGCGGCGUGCUUAACACAUGCAAGUCGAACGAAGCAUUUAAGACAGAUUUUUUCGGAAUGAAGUUUUCUAUGACUGAGUGGCGGACGGGUGAGUAACGCGUGGGUAACCUGCCUCACACAGGGGGAUAGCAGUUGGAAACGACUGGUAAUACCGCAUAAGCGCACAGCUUCGCAUGAAGCGGUGUGAAAAACUCCGGUGGUGUGAGAUGGACCCGCGUCUGAUUAGGUAGUUGGUGAGGUAACGGCCCACCAAGCCGACGAUCAGUAGCCGACCUGAGAGGGUGACCGGCCACAUUGGGACUGAGACACGGCCCAGACUCCUACGGGAGGCAGCAGUGGGGAAUAUUGCACAAUGGAGGAAACUCUGAUGCAGCGACGCCGCGUGAGUGAAGAAGUAUUUCGGUAUGUAAAGCUCUAUCAGCAGGGAAGACAGUGACGGUACCUGACUAAGAAGCUCCGGCUAAAUACGUGCCAGCAGCCGCGGUAAUACGUAUGGAGCAAGCGUUAUCCGGAUUUACUGGGUGUAAAGGGAGUGUAGGUGGUAUCACAAGUCAGAAGUGAAAGCCCGGGGCUCAACCCCGGGACUGCUUUUGAAACUGUGGAACUGGAGUGCAGGAGAGGUAAGUGGAAUUCCUAGUGUAGCGGUGAAAUGCGUAGAUAUUAGGAGGAACACCAGUGGCGAAGGCGGCUUACUGGACUGUAACUGACACUGAGGCUCGAAAGCGUGGGGAGCAAACAGGAUUAGAUACCCUGGUGGUCCACGCCGUAAACGAUGAAUACUAGGUGUCGGGGCUCAUAAGAGCUUCGGUGCCGCUAG
rnacentral:rRNA from 1 species